rnacentral:rRNA from 1 species
UACAGAGGGGGCAAGCGUUAUUCGGAAUUAUUGGGCGUAAAGGGCGCGUAGGCGGCUUUGCAAGUGGCGGGUGAAAUCCCUCGGCUUAACCGAGGAACUGCCUGCCAGACUGUGAGGCUUGAGACCGGGAGAGGUGAGUGGAAUUCCCAGUGUAGCGGUGAAAUGCGUAGAUAUUGGGAGGAACACCAGUGGCGAAGGCGGCUCACUGGACGACGAGUGACGCUGAGGCGCGAAAGCGUGGGGAGCAAACAGG